rnacentral:lncRNA from 1 species
UUACAUUCACUUAGUCAACACAUAGAUGGAUAUGGAGUUGAGAGUCCAUGCUUCUUUUAGGCUUGACUAGGUGAAGGUACGUAGAAUUUAGGGGGUGCAUAUGCACCCACCCUAAAAUUCAAAUUCAGCGAUUGAAAAUGAAUUUUCACCGUAUAUGUAUCUCCCACUGCUCAUAUCUAUAUGCACCCACAGGUAGACAUUAUUCCCCUCUAAUUUGCUCUAACUUUGCCACAGGGACAGGUGCAGGAGAUGGAGACUUUGGCCACCGCCAGGGUGACGUUGUCGCCGAUAGCCAGCGGAUUCAGAUCGCCACCACUACCCUCGGUGGUGUGGCGCUGAUCUGUUCUGUUGUGAUCUGCUCCUCCGUGUCCAGUGGUAGGGAUGAGAUGGACACACAAGGCAAGGUGCAGCCAACGAUAUGCUGACCAAAAGUGUUCGUACUUUUUUCUUAAAGAAGUUCGUACUGAAUUAUCAUGCAAAAAAAAGAACGCAUAGUAGUUGAGUUAACCGUUCGAUUCAAGGGGGGAAAUGGCCUCAUAAAUCAUCAGGAGUUGAAAUGGCGACUGACCCCGUCACAGCUUGCUCGGUAGUCGGUAGAGCUUGCUGCAGCCUCCCUCUUCCCAGACUUUCACCAGCUGAGCUCAGGGAUGGUGUUUCCCGGCGAUCCGCGACAAAGGAAACGAUUACCGGAGUCAGAGAGUCUGAAGAAAGAAAAUGGAUGGGAACGACAAGGACAACGAGGGGGCAUAGCUUCGGCAGGCUUUGCAGUAAUGCAGUCGGUCGAGCUCCCAGCUACUCCUUCCAACAUGAACAGUGUCCUGCCUGUACGUGCCGCCAAUGUGGUGCUUGGCGUCGGCGAGAAACGCCGGGCCCGAUGCGAGAGCUACGCCUGACGCCCGGACCCCCUGCCCCAUACCGACUCCACUGCGACACCACCGCCGGAGUCCGAUGCUUCCUGCCGCGGCAGAACCCAACCACGCCCCCACCCCGGUCGUAAAGCAGGGCACGGGUGGCCCCACCAAUAUUCCCGCAGCGGCCUACUACGCGGCAGCCCUACGCCACGACGCUAGGCCAUUC